rnacentral:rRNA from 1 species
UACGUAGGUGGCAAGCGUUAUCCGGAAUUAUUGGGCGUAAAGCGCGCGUAGGCGGUUUUUUAAGUCUGAUGUGAAAGCCCACGGCUCAACCGUGGAGGGUCAUUGGAAACUGGAAAACUUGAGUGCAGAAGAGGAAAGUGGAAUUCCAUGUGUAGCGGUGAAAUGCGCAGAGAUAUGGAGGAACACCAGUGGCGAAGGCGACUUUCUGGUCUGUAACUGACGCUGAUGUGCGAAAGCGUGGGGAUCAAACAGGAUU